UACAUCAUUUAGGCCUCGGGCAACCAAAACUUGUAACCCAAUAUGCCCGACGGACUAGUAACAAAAAAAUUCUUGGUGUAUCCAAAAUAGAAAGUCGAAAAUCCCCUCAUCACUAUUCUAUCUAAGCCAAUCAGAUUCGACUACGUCAUCCGGGAUUCCCAGAAUUUGAACUGAUUUUGUACAAGUUUUAAAAUAGAACAAAUAACCAGUACUUUCAAUAUCGAUUUGUCAGUACAGGUGGUAUUGUGCAUUGCUUAUGCAUCCAGAGAAACAUAAUGUAACCUGAUUGUACCUCCUUCUGAAUAAUUUAUUGCAAUAUAAAUGUGAAUCCCUUUUGACAGCAG
rnacentral:lncRNA from 1 species